rnacentral:siRNA from 1 species
GAAAAGAGAGAACCUGAUGAUCC